GAUUAGUCUAACGUUGCUCAUUGAGCUUACGGAGCGUUGAGUAUCAAAUAUUGGCCUAUGUACGUAUUUACGAGUCCCUCACAAAGGCUCAGUUACAUACAUGUGAGGAGAACAGGGAAUGACGAUCUUUGCGGCGUAUCAAGUGAUUAUCGUGAGUGAACAAAUUGUUGGAAAGCUAGACGGAUCUCUCCUCACUCACAGUCAACCAGCGUGCAUGUGUGUACGUGUGCACUUGGGCCAAUGCGACGGAGCAAGCUCCUAAUUGCGGUUGUCGUGGAGCAAUUCGAUCUCAAACCGGCUACCACAUUCACCGUGCUUCAAAAUCCAAUAGACAGGCAUCGGAAAUUAAAAUCGAAACACUAGCCAAUAGGCCGCCAUUUCCAACCACGACCACCACCACCACUACCAACAACAACAACAACAACAACAUCACUGACAGCACGAUCAAGUGUUGCUUGCUCCUGCGAUCGGUCGUUUGAUGGCUCCAUAUCGAGUUUAUACAACGUGAGGAAUUCGAUUUCCCCACUCGCACAACGAAGUCAGAAUUAUAUCAUUGCAAACAAAGAGGGAGCCAUAAAGCAUGGCCAAACAGGAGGGGGAGGGAGGAGGGGAAGAAGAAGGAGGAGAAGGAGGAGGAAACUCUGGACUCUUUGGACUGCUUACCACUUCUAGUGAAUACAUAAACAUACAUAGAGAUUCGAGCGAGUGAGCCACCCUUGUGAUUGCCAUUGAAUGCUCGUUUAUUCGUAUCCUUGACGUCGUGCCUUACCCGCUUAGC